UACGUAGGGGGCAAGCGUUGUCCGGAUUUAUUGGGCGUAAAGAGCGUGUAGGCGGCCAGACAGGUCAGCUGUGAAAACUCGAGGCUCAACCUCGAGACGUCGGUUGAAACCGUCUGGCUAGAGUCCGGAAGAGGAGAGUGGAAUUCCCGGUGUAGCGGUGAAAUGCGCAGAUAUCGGGAGGAACACCAGUGGCGAAGGCGGCCGGCUGGGGGUGACCUGACGCUGAGGCGCGAAAGCGUGGGGAGCGAACCGG
rnacentral:rRNA from 1 species